CCUUCGGGUGAGUAUAGCGGCGGACGGGUGAGUAAUGCGUGGGAAUCUGCCUGGUAGUGGGGGACAACAGUUGGAAACGACUGCUAAUACCGCAUACGCCCUACGGGGGAAAGCGGGGGAUCUUCGGACCUCGCGCUAUCAGAUGAGCCCACGUCAGAUUAGCUAGUUGGUGGGGUAAAGGCCUACCAAGGCGACGAUCUGUAGCUGGUCUGAGAGGAUGAUCAGCCACACUGGACUGAGACACGGCCCAGACUCCUACGGGAGGCAGCAGUGGGGAAUAUUGCACAAUGGGGGAAACCCUGAUGCAGCCAUGCCGCGUGUGUGAAGAAGGCCCUAGGGUUGUAAAGCACUUUAAGCAGUGAGGAAAGGGAGUCUGUUAAUAGCAUGCAUCUGUGACGUUAACUGCAGAAUAAGCACCGGCUAACUCCGUGCCAGCAGCCGCGGUAAUACGGAGGGUGCAAGCGUUAAUCGGAAUUACUGGGCGUAAAGCGCACGUAGGUGGUUUUUUAAGCGAGGUGUGAAAUCCCCGGGCUCAACCUGGGAACUGCACUUCGAACUGGAAAGCUAGAGUAUGGUAGAGGAUAGUGGAAUUUCAGGUGUAGCGGNGAAAUGCGUANAGAUCUGAAGGAACAUCA
rnacentral:rRNA from 1 species